CGCUAGAGGGACUGACUAGGAGAAGCCAGUGUUGCCCAGGGUUGGUGUGCUGAAGACCCCCCCCAAUGCAGUUACAGUUGGUAAGAGGCAGCCCUGCACAGAGAGGAUGGGGACAACCCAAGAUGGACCUUUGCUGUAAAUGUGUGCCUCAUGUCCAGAGGUUUAAACCCUCCUGACUCUUCUAGAGAGGAGACAAGAGAACUCAGGGUUCCCAGUUGGUGCGUGUUGGCUGCUCUAUCCACUGACCACAUUCUGAUCCUGACUAUCACUAAACCAAGUCUGUUUUUGAAGAUGGUACGCAUGUG
rnacentral:lncRNA from 1 species